rnacentral:rRNA from 1 species
GUGGGGAAUAUUGGACAAUGGGCGAAAGCCUGAUCCAGCAAUGCCGCGUGAGUGAUGAAGGCCUUAGGGUUGUAAAGCUCUUUUACCAGGGAUGAUAAUGACAGUACCUGGAGAAUAAGCUCCGGCUAACUCCGUGCCAGCAGCCGCGGUAAUACGGAGGGAGCUAGCGUUGUUCGGAAUUACUGGGCGUAAAGCGCACGUAGGCGGUUACUCAAGUCAGAGGUGAAAGCCCGGGGCUCAACCCCGGAACUGCCUUUGAAACUAGGUAACUAGAAUCUUGGAGAGGUCAGUGGAAUUCCGAGUGUAGAGGUGAAAUUCGUAGAUAUUCGGAUGAACACCAGUGGCGAAGGCGACUGACUGGACAAGUAUUGACGCUGAGGUGCGAAAGCGUGGGGAGCAAACAGGAUUAGAUACCCUUGUAGUCC